UACGAAGGGGGCUAGCGUUGUUCGGAUUUACUGGGCGUAAAGCGCACGUAGGCGGAUCGAUCAGUCAGGGGUGAAAUCCCGGGGCUCAACCUCGGAACUGCCUUUGAUACUGCAAAUCUCGAGUCCGAUAGAGGUGGGUGGAAUUCCUAGUGUAGAGGUGAAAAUUCGUAGAUAUUAGGAAGAACACCGGUGGCGAAGGCGGCCCACUGGAUCGGUACUGACGCUGAGGUGCGAAAGCGUGGGGGAGCAAACAGG
rnacentral:rRNA from 1 species